rnacentral:misc_RNA from 1 species
AGCAGCCGCGGUAAUUCCAGCUCCAAUAGCGUAUAUUAAAGUUGUUGCAGUUAAAAGCUCGUAGUUGAAUUUUGGAUUCUACCAAUUGGUCCAUCUUUUAGAUGAGUACUGGUUGUGUGGGGUCUAUCCGCCUGGUGAUACGUAAUGUCCUUUAUUGGAUGUUGCGGGUAGUCAGGACCUUUACCUUGAAAAAAUUAGAGUGUUUAAAGCAGGCUUAUGCCGGAAUACAUUAGCAUGGAAUAAUAGAAUAGGACGAAGUUGUUUUAUUUUGUUGGUUUCUAGGACAACCGUAAUGAUUAAUAGGGAUAGUUGGGGGCAUUAGUAUUCAAUUGUCAGAGGUGAAAUUCUUGGAUUUAUUGAAGACUAACUACUGCGAAAGCAUUUGCCAAGGAUGUUUUCAUUAAUCAAGAACGAAAGUUAGGGGAUCGAAGACGAUCAGAUACCGUCGUAGUCUUAACCAUAAACUAUGCCGACUAGGGAUCGGGCGAUGUUGUUUCCAUGACUCGCUCGGCACCUUAUG